UGUAGGUGGGACUAUGUGACAAUUUACAGUGGGCUUUGUGGCAAUGUAGGUGGGACUAUGUGACAAUUUACAGUGGGCUUUGUGGCAAUGUAGGUGGGACUAUGUGACAAUUUACAGUGGGCUUUGUGGCAAUGUAGGUGGGACUAUGUGACAAUUUACAGUGGGCUUUGUGGCAAUGUAGGUGGGACUAUGUGACAAUUUACAGUGGGCUUUGUGGCAAUGUAGGUGGGACUAUGUGACAAUUUACAGUGGGCUUUGUGGCAAUGUAGGUGGGACUAUGUGACAAUUUACAGUGGGCUUUGUGGCAAUGUAGGUGGGACUAUGUGACAAUUUACAGUGGGCUUUGUGGCAAUGUAGGUGGGACUAUGUGACAAUUUACAGUGGGCUUUGUGGCAAUGUAGGUGGGACUAUGUGACAAUUUACAGUGGGCUUUGUGGCAAUGUAGGUGGGACUAUGUGACAAUUUACAGUGGGCUUUGUGGCAAUGUAGGUGGGACUAUGUGACAAUUUACAGUGGGCUUUGUGGCAAUGUAGGUGGGACUAUGUGACAAUUUACAGUGGGCUUUGUGGCAAUGUAGGUGGGACUAUGUGACAAUUUACAGUGGGCUUUGUGGCAAUGUAGGUGGGACUAUGUGACAAUUUACAGUGGGCUUUGUGGCAAUGUACGUGGGACUAUGUGACAAUUUACAAUUUGCAUUGAGAUGUACUACAGUUAAGUUCUAUGACAAUACUUAAGAGUUAUUACAAUAAGUUGAAUUCACUGACAAUGUAUUGUUAG